ACAUGUUUUAGAAAUGACCAGCUAUUCAUUUUUAUAACUCAGACUUUCUAUACUAAAACAUUAAUACAUCUUUCUGUGACUUUGAAAGGCAUCUUUAAUGCAAGUGGUCUUGAUAAGCAUUGUUCAUGCUUUUGUUACUAUUAAAAAUGUCUUAUGAUGCAUUGGUUCAAACAGAAGAUAGCAAUGUGAAAUGCAAUUCAGCCCAACUAUUUCUAGUCUAAUAUCUGGUACUGAUGUCUUGCACAAAAUAAUUAUGAAAGCAUCUUGUAAUGUAAUUAGGAGGAUUAGAUUGACAAAUAUGAGGCUAGUUUAACUCCUGAUGGACAGGAAGUGGUGUGAUUACCGUUGGUAGAGAGGAGAAAGUGGGCAGCGUUUUGCUGUGGCAGCCAGCGGAUCUUAUUGAUCUUCUCCUCGAUUUCCAAACUCUUCAGAUAGUCAAAGUCCGGUUCGUGACUCUGGAACGUGCUGUAGACAUUAUACUCACCCGAUUCUCCCAGCUCUUCAGAUUCACUUUUAGACUGCGAUGACCACUCGCCCCCCCUUAUCUCCUGUGGCCAGCAGAUCCCCCGUCUGGUUAAACUCCACUGUAGAAAUGACAUCAGCUACAAAGAAAGAAAGAAACAGGUGUGUGGUUGGACCAGGUGACCAAAGUCUGAGUCAGCUGAAUGAGAAGACCUUACCGCUCAUCUGCUGAGAUGAAGGUUAUUUUCAGGACUUCAGAGAGUCUCGGAGGAAGCUGUGAUUGAUUUUGGGGCUCUCGCUGUCCUCACCCAUCGGAAGCGGCGGAGUGCGUAAGCGCGCCCGUCCGGAGCAGAGCCGUCCAAUCCGUGCUGUCCCACCCCCCCGGUGCUUUGCCCAUGCUGGUGCGGCCUAGCAGAGUGGCCUGGCGCACGGCAUCCUGGGAUAUGGUCCGGGUUUGUCAGGAGGAAGAUGAGCACCAAGCAACAAGGAUGCCACGUACAGAUGGGGAAAAGGGAGGGUAAAAAACGGGAUGAAUAAACCACAGCUCAGUCAGCUGUAGAAAAGCACCUUGUCAUAUGCGAAACAUGCUCGAGCGCACGUCCUGACGCUCAGCCAACACUGCCUGGCAACAAGAAAAGAGAAUCUAGGUGUGUGAGUGAUCCGUAGAUCCGUCGUGCUGCGGUAAGUCCUUUUCCAGGCGUGGGUGCGGUAGUCCUUGAAGGAGAGCAGAGGAGAGAGAGAGACAGGCUGUCUUUCACAGGAGGAAGAGGAGAGGCCUGGUCGUACCUCACAGCUUCACGGUGUGUCUUCUCCCUUCUGCUGCAGUGUGACGGAGUGCACGUGUGUGUAUGCGUGUUUCUGCUUGAAGGGAAAGGAAAGAUGAAAAAGAGGGGGGAGGGAGAGAAGAGGGAAAGAGAGAGCGAGAGGAUACCACCAGCCUGUCUUUCUCGACUACCACUGCUGCUGAGCAUCUGCACAGCAUCACCAUAUCACAGAAGCCUCCUCCCUGCUCGGCCAAUCAGAGCAAGGCUAUCCUUGGCCGCACCUCCCACUGCAGGUGACAAGAGGAAUGAGCCUGGAGAGGAGAGUAGAUGAGGACAUCAGAGAGAUGGAGGGAAGAGAAUCUGGAAUGCGGCGGAGCCAGAGAUUUUCACUGGAGUGAGAACUGUGACAUGAUGAGACUGAUGAGAAAUGGAGCAAAUGUCAUCCAAAAAGGCAAAGAUGGAAGAGGAAAUGCUGAUAAGGAUGCAAAUAAUGGAAGGGUUCACUUUAGAGGAAGAUCCAGCAGCUUGCGUAUCUGCAUCUGCUUUUGGAGAGAAGAAAGGCGAGAGAAAACAUGCCAUGUCUGCAAACAAAGUCCCUGCCCUCUUUGCCUGCUGAAGGGAGGUAUGAAGUCUCCUCAGCCCAAAAGGGGUCUCAAGGGUCCAGAUACAAGUCGGGUAAAAUUGUUCACAAAGUGUUCACAUGUGGAGAGGAAUGACAGCAUAAAAAAGCAGUGUGUCAUCACCAGUGCUGGACGGUUCUUCUCACCUCUCUGGACCCUAGGGGCGAAAACCCAGAGACUGGGAUUCAGGAUGGGAAAGGAAGGUGAGAAAGUGAAGGCAUGGCUGGAUGAUCGAUCGGAUUCUGUCAGCUCUUACUUUAUCAGAUACUCAAGAUCAGCAGUGUAGCUACAUCUGUUCUGAGAGAGUAUGUAAAAAUAAUGUUAUGUGAUGCAAUAUUUCCAGCCAUCUGCUUUCAUUCUUCAUGUCUUAAGUUUGAACACUGCUUUAUACUGGAAAAUGGUUCUAAAUAGCAACAGAUUUGGGUUCCGUGUAUUUCUGGAUAGAACAGGAGAAUAAGAAUUUUUUGCAUUGCUUUACUCUUUUAAGUUACUUAUAUUACUGUUUUAAAAUAAGUCUCUUAACUCUUAACUCUUUGAUAAAAAAUACAUGCUUAAACCUAAGAUAUACAGUUGAUCACCCAUGCUAGCUAUUCCCAAAUUGCUAUUAGUGCAAUCUAACCUGUUAUUAUCUCUUUUCUCUUCUUACACAUUGGGUGCAUGGCUGUUUAGAAAGAGCCCAAGCUGCCCAAACCCUCAUAACUGAGCCUAGGUUGAAAAAUUCUUGGCAGACGUGGAGUGUCCCAUCUUGUCUGUGGGCACACUUGAGGGCAUGCAUGUGUACCCUGCCACAAUGAAAAGACCACACUUUCCUAUCUUCCUAUCAGAGGAGGAGUCUGUCUGCAGCUAUACACAGGCAGAGUGGGACAAGUGCAUUAUGGGAUACAUGGUCAGCACUAAGAGGCCACUGAACAUCAGGAAUUCUUGUGAGUGUGUGAACAAAAGCAGGCCAGGCACAUGUGCAGGGAGCUUUUUCUCAGAACAAGAUGAGAAAGUAAGUAUUUAUCAAUAUUAAAGAUGUUAAAAAAAUCUUGUCUUUCGAUGAUCUGAAAUACAAUGGUGUUGAGUCCAUAUCAAGUUUUUUUCUUUACACUAUGCAUGACAUUUGUGUGAAAUAUAAAAUGAAUUUAUAUGACAAGCCACCUAUCUUUAAUGAAUAAUCAGUGCUAAAUUUUGUCAUGUGACCUGAGUCAAAGAAAGAGUCAUCUUUUUGUCUCUGUUGUUUGGACUGAUCCUGGAAAACUGUCAGCUGUGUGAGAGCUAACACAGUCAGGUGUCACACAGAGUUUACAUUUAUUUAUUUAGCCACUUUUUUCUACAGUGCGUUACUCACUUUUAUCUAAAAUGAUUAAUCUGUUAAAGAUACAUAAAAUGGUGUUUACGAAGAAAAUUACAGUAAAAAAUGACAGUAUAGGGAAACUUUUGCUACAUUAUUUUUGACAUGUGACAGGUACUGUUCUGAUUGGCCCAGCUGGUCACAUGACUACGCCUCUCUGGAUGACAAUCUCUGCUGUCAUCCUGCCAGUUACAAAAGCACAAUUCUGUAGUAUUUUUAUCUCAACUGACAGCUCCAUAUUAGUACAAGAAUCAACACUUUAUGGAUAAUGAUUCACUGUUAAAAUAAAGGAUGCUUUAUUUGUUCUUAGCAGCUGUGAAGUUUUAGUUGUGCUGAUACAUGUGUCUUUCACUUUCUUUUAAUUUCUUGUGUAGGUUAAAAGACUGCGUGAAGCUCAUAAAAUUAUUUUAAUACUGAACUACUAAAACAGCUAAAGUUGAUACUGAUAAAUCUGAUAAAUAAAAAAAUAAAAAACAUUUUGUCUCAAAGAUGGUCCAUAUAGAGCAUAAAAAACAACUGCUCUUUGUUCUACAAGGUAAAUAAAUGUACAUUUAUAAUUUGAUCAGGUGUUACAAAAUAAUAGGUAAUUGUUUUAACCCCAUAAUAUUGAAAGUCAGUGUUCAGUUCAGUAUUGCUCUUUAAUACUUAAGCAAAAAAAACAAAAAAAAACCCAAAGGUAUACAACUUUAUGCAUUCUUAUGUAUACAAUGAGUUUAGCAUAGUUAAAUGUAAAAUUAUAUUUUUAUGACAGCAAUGACGUCAUCUACAUGUAUGCUAUGCCUGUACAAAACUCAAUGGAGACGCUGAACAUUGUUAACAAACCUGUAAGUUUAUCUGAUUCAUUCACUGGUCACAUUGCUAUUCAUAUAAGAUUAUUGUGUGUGUGUGAGUGCUGGAAUAAAAAAAAAAAUGUGGCUAAUGGAUAAAUUGAGGUCAUAUGUCUACAUGGAAAUCAAUGACAUAUUUUCAUAGUUUUUCUUCCUUUUUAUAUAUAUAUGCAUAUGAUUACUUUAGAGAAAACCAUAUCACCAUGUGACUAAAAAGUACCUUUUAUCUGAGAUUUCCCAUGUCUGUUUCAGUCACACUUUAGUUUGGGGGUCAGUUCUCUAUUAAAUAACUAUUAACUUGCCUCAGUAAUCUCCUUGUUUACUACUUAAUUAUUUACUAACUUAAUAAAUUAAUAGUUAUUAAGGUAGUUGUUGAGUUUAGGCAUGGAGUCAGGUUAAGGGAUCUAGAAUACGGUCAUGAAGAAUAAAGCAUGUGCUUUAUAAGAACUAAAAAAGAGUCAAUAUGCUAUUAAUAUGCAUGCUAAUAAGCAACUAGUCAAUAUUGAGAACUGGUUUCGAAACCAAAGUGUUAUGUGAAUUUCUGACAUACACUGUUUUUGUGUGUUCUCCAAGGCCCAGACUUCUAAGAUCUCUCAUGUCAGGAGUUUGAACAGCACAUUUCUGAGAGGCAAACGGAAAUAACAUCUUAGUUAAUUUCCACUGUCCCUAGUAUUUAUCCAACAAACCAAAGCUCUCAUGCUUUCCCAUAGGAUUUUUUUGGGUUGUUGUUUCAGACUGUUUUGCUCAUAUUAUAGUAUAUUUGCACAUAUUACUGUAACAUACAGUACAACACAUACAGUAAGAGAACUAUAUAUUUAACAUGGAAAACAUUGUUCAGAUCAUUUGGUUUAGAAAGAAUUUGCUGAUAAAUUUUUCCAAGACUUUUGAUCUUGGAAAUCUGUCUCAUUCUACUCUUUUUUUCAGUCUCACUGAUGCAACUAAAAAGAUCUCACUUGUUGUUUUCCUCAGUUUAGAUACAAAUAGUACAUCCCAUUCUGUGAAUCUCCACGCUAGUCAAUAAAAUGACUCUCACAGAGACAGAAGUUUUUAGUUAAGCUGAUGAGCACCUCCUAGAGUACUUUGCAGUUUGUUGUGCUGUGGGAUUACAACAUUUCAACAUGCCGCUGAUGGCAGAUAGAACCAGAUCCAAGCUGGCUAUGACUAAAGGGGUUUGAAAUGGUCUUAUCUUAUCAAAUUUCAGCUUCACAAGAAGAAAUUGAUAUCUUAGAGGAGGCUGUCAUCGUGUCAGCAGAUGCCCUAUGUUUACUGGAUUUUAACUUCAGUGAUCUUGAUAUGUCCCAUACUGCCAUGAGUCAGGCCGUUGUGCGUAUGUUCUCAAUUUGCCCCAGGAGUUCAGCAUUGCCUACAAGGUUUCUGACCCUGUGUCAGUGGGUUUUGGGCAUACGGAUGUGCUACAGAAGCAAUGUAGUCUAUCAUAAGUAAAGUCAUGCAUUAUGCACCGCCCAGUGCAUGUUUGCCCCACUGCAGAGUGCAUUAAAAGAGUGAUUUUAGUAGUCUGGAGGUUCUUGCUCUCAUUAUUGCCAGUCUGUGCAUGAUCUGGAUCUGGACCACAGAGGAGUAAAUUACUCUCACAUAGAGAGGAAGAGAACGAAGUUCUACAAACUCGCUCAGAAUAACAACUGUCUAUGGAAAGAUGAAGGACAUGGAAAACUGCUGAGAGGUCAUUGCUAAUGACAGCAAGCGACCUAUGUGCAAUGACCAAACCAUGGCCAGUUCAGAAGUGGUUGAGCUUCUCCCACACACAUUUACAUGCAUGCAUGCAGAUUGCUGAACUUGUAGCAACAGAACUGUACGCACAAGGAGACCGAGAGAAGUGUGAAUACAACAUUCAGCCAAAUGAUUCGAUGGACUGUGAAAACUCCACUCAUUUAACCCCAUAUCAACUGACUAUGACUAUAUCAACGGGAUUUGCUCUUCGCUCUUCGAGGCCCUGGCCAGCAUUUGUGUGUCCCGUUUCCUUCUAAAAGAAGGUUGCUGAAGGAACAUAAAACAAUGGCAGAACUCUUUUUGUUAACCAUGCAUAGAGUGGACCAAGUAUGACUCAAAGUUGUAUCUGAUAUUCAGAUUAUUACUAUGUAUGAUGAAAUAAAAUACGUUAUUAUUAUAAUAAAAGCAUUUCACACUCUCAAA